rnacentral:lncRNA from 10 species
GGAUGCACCCCUCUGUCGAUUGCAUCACAUUGGAGCUCCUCCUCUUACAUUGUCUGGUAGGGGCCUGGCAAGGAAGUGUUAACACGAGAAAUGGAGAUCUCCUAUUCCUGACUCCCUCCUGGAACCAGCACGUCACUCCAGGCCCCCAGAGGCAUUGGCCCUCCUGUGAAUUCAACCAAGCGUGGUGUCCCAUAGCAAAUAUGGAAAACGCCUGGAAAAAGCCACCAGAUGGUGCUUCUCCAUGCCAAGUAACCCCCGGUGGAGAUAGGCACCUGUGAGAAGUAUCACUGCUUCGUGGGUCAGGGGCUUGGACCCACCAGGGCUGUGUCACCUGCGGACCAUGUGAACUCAAGUGCGGUCUUCGCUAAGAGGCCAAGCAAGAUGAUGUAAUCACCUGAUGAGUUCCUCCUGCCCACUGCACAGACAAAACCAAUUCACUGAGACGACGGCAUUGCAAUAAAGAAAGAGCUUAAUUGACACAAGGUUGGCCACUCCUGUCUCAAAUCAAAUCAAUCUGAAAAUUUGGAGGCUAGGGUUUUUAAAGGAUACUUUGGUGGGCAGGGGGCUGGGGAAUGGGGGCUGCUGAUUGGUUGGGGAUGCAAUCACAGGGUUGUGGAAAUUGGUCCUUGUGCACCAAGUCCACUUCUGGGCGGGCUCCCCAGGACCGGCUGAGCCAAGAGUUGAAGGUCUGGGUGGGGCCAUCCGGUCAUCAGAAAUGCAGGUAAAGACAUCUCAAAAGGCCAAUCUUAGGUUCCACAAUAGUGAAUUGGGACAGUUGCAAAUCUUGUAUCCUCUGGAAUAAUGGCUGGUUGUCAUUUAACUAUGCCUGCGUCUUAGCGAAAUUUAGGCCCCUCUCAUCCUCCUAACCUGGUGGCCUUUCUUUUCUUUUCAUUUUUUUUUAAGAAACAGGUUCUUACUCUGUCCCCCAGGCAGGAAUGCAGUGGUGUGAUCGUGGCUCACUGCAGCUUAAAACUCCUGGGCUCAAGUGAUCCUCCCACUU